GGUUUGGCUCUAAUGAUUAACUGAUUAUUUUUUUGUACUUAUGAUUUGUUUAAUUACCUAUGUCACUGUAUGUAAUGCUACAAUUUUUAAUUUUUUUUUUUUUUAUAGAAUUUAUAAAGAUUUUUGGAUAAAACAAUUCUGGAAUAAUAAAACUGAUUUAAUUACCCCUGUUAUUAUAAUACACAUUAAUAUACAUUGCAAGAGCCACACUGCAGUUACUCAGGUGACUGAUACAGCCCAAGGGCCUCUUGUUCCUGUUAAGUAGCCUGUACCGUCCCUGUCAUAUAUCAGUAGUUAUAUCUCAUAACUGAGUUUCUGCUGUCAAAUAUCAUCAUUUGUUAGUUCCCCUGAAGGAGGCUUUUAUGGUUUAUAAUCAGCAGUUAGCUUUAUUCUAUGAAGUCUUUUUCCCAUAUUUCAGCAAACUGCUUUAUUGGUGCAAAUUAAUCUAUAUUUAGCAUGAAAUGUAUUGAUGCAAUUACAUAUACUGGUAUAUUAAACUUUAAAUUGC
rnacentral:misc_RNA from 1 species